rnacentral:rRNA from 1 species
CGCUGGCGGCGUGCUUAACACAUGCAAGUCGAACGGAGAUUAUUAAUGAAGCUUGCGAUUUAAUAAUCUUAGUGGCGGACGGGUGAGUAACGCGUGGGCAACCUACCCAUAAGCGGGGGAUAACAGUUGGAAACGACUGCUAAUACCGCAUAAGCUAUUAAGGUCACAUGACCUUAAUAGUAAAGGUGGCGAUUUUUACAUUGCUAUCACUUAUGGAUGGGCCCGCGUCUGAUUAGCUAGUUGGUGGGAUAGCAGCCUACCAAGGCAACGAUCAGUAGCCGGCCUGAGAGGGUGGACGGCCACACUGGGACUGAGACACGGCCCAGACUCCUACGGGAGGCAGCAGUGGGGAAUAUUGCGCAAUGGGGGAAACCCUGACGCAGCGACGCCGCGUGAGCGAAGAAAAGGCCUUAGGGUCGUAAAGCUCUGUUGUAAGGGACGAAUGUUUAUCUGGCGAACAGUCAGAUAAAGUGACGGUACCUUACCAGCAAGCCCCGGCUAACUACGUGCCAGCAGCUGC